rnacentral:rRNA from 1 species
CAGUCGCCGCGGGAAUACGAAGGGUGCAAGCGUUAAUCGGAAUUACCGGGCGUAAAGCGUGCGUAGGCGGUGAGUUAAGUCUGCUGUGAAAUCCCCGGGCUCAACCUGGGAAUGGCAGUGGAUACUGGCUCGCUAGAGUGUGUCAGAGGAUGGUGGAAUUCCCGGUGUAGCGGUGAAAUGCGUAGAGAUCGGGAGGAACAUCAGUGGCGAAGGCGGCCAUCUGGGACAACACUGACGCUGAGGCACGAAAGCGUGGGGAGCAAACAGGAUUAGAUACCCCAGUAGUCCCUGUCUCUUAUAC